GAUGAACGCUGGCGGCGUGCCUAAUACAUGCAAGUCGAGCGAAUGGAUUAAGAGCUUGCUCUUAUGAAGUUAGCGGCGGACGGGUGAGUAACACGUGGGUAACCUGCCCAUAAGACUGGGGUAGCUACGGGAAACCGGGGCUAAUACCGGAUAACAUUUUGAACCGCAUGGUUCGAAAUUGAAAGGCGGCUUCGGCUGUCAAUUAUGGAUGGACCCGCGUCGCAUUAGCUAGUUGGUGAGGUAACGGCUCACCAAGGCAACGAUGCGUAGCCGACCUGGGAGGUUGAUCGGCCACACUGGGACUGAGACACGGCCCAGACUCCUACGGGAGGCAGCAGUAGGGAAUCUUCCGCAAUGGACGAAAUUCUGACGGAGCAACGCCGCGUGAGUGAUGAAGGCUUUCGGGUCGUAAAACUCUGUUGUUAGGGAAGAACAAGUGCUAGUUGAAUAAGCUGGCACCUUGACGGUACCUAACCAGAAAGCCACGGCUAACUACGUGCCAGCAGCCGCGGUAA
rnacentral:rRNA from 1 species